rnacentral:rRNA from 1 species
AGUGAACGCUGGCGGUAGGCCUAACACAUGCAAGUCGAACGGCAGCACAGUAAGAGCUUGCUCUUACGGGUGGCGAGUGGCGGACGGGUGAGGCAUACAUCGGAAUCUACUUUUUCGUGGGGGAUAACGUAGGGAAACUUACGCUAAUACCGCAUACGUCCUACGGGUGAAAGCAGGGGAUCUUCGGACCUUGCGCGAUUGAAUGAGCCGAUGUCGGAUUAGCUAGUUGGCGGGGUAAAGGCCCACCAAGGCGACGAUCCGUAGCUGGUCUGAGAGGAUGAUCAGCCACACUGGAACUGAGACACGGUCCAGACUCCUACGGGAGGCAGCAGUGGGGAAUAUUGGACAAUGGGCGCAAGCCUGAUCCAGCCAUACCGCGUGGGUGAAGAAGGCCUUCGGGUUGUAAAGCCCUUUUGUUGGGAAAGAAAAGCAGCAGGUUAAUACCCCGCUGUUCUGACGGUACCCAAAGAAUAAGCACCGGCUAACUUCGUG